rnacentral:rRNA from 1 species
GAUGAACGCUGGCGGCGUGCCUAAUACAUGCAAGUCGAGCGAACGGACGAGAAGCUUGCUUCUCUGAUGUUAGCGGCGGACGGGUGAGUAACACGUGGAUAACCUACCUAUAAGACUGGGAUAACUUCGGGAAACCGGAGCUAAUACCGGAUAAUAUUUUGAACCACAUGGUUCAAAAGUGAAAGACGGUCUUGCUUUCCCUUAUAGAUGGAUCCGCGCUGCAUUAGCUAGUUGGUAAGGUAACGGCUUACCAAGGCAACGAUGCAUGGCCGACCGGGGAGGGUGAUCGGCCACACUGGAACUGAGACACGGUCCGGACUCCUACGGGAGGCAGCAGUAGGGAAUCUUCCGCAAUGGGCGAAAGCCUGACGGAGCAACGCCGCGUGAGUGAUGAAGGUCUUCGGAUCGUAAAACUCUGUUAUUAGGGAAGAACAUAUGUGUAAGUAACUGUGCACAUCUUGACGGUAACUAAUCAGAAAGCCACGGCUAACUACGUG